rnacentral:rRNA from 1 species
GAUGAACGCUGGCGGCGUGCUUAACACAUGCAAGUCGAACGGAAAGGCCCAAGCUUGCUUGGGUACUCGAGUGGCGAACGGGUGAGUAACACGUGGGUGAUCUGCCCUGCACUUCGGGAUAAGCCUGGGAAACUGGGUCUAAUACCGGAUAGGACCACAUUUUGGAUGGUGUGGUGGAAAGAUUUUCGGUGUGGGAUGAGCUCGCGGCCUAUCAGCUUGUUGGUGGGGUAGUGGCGUACCAAGGCGUCGACGGGUAGCCGGCCUGAGAGGGUGUACGGACACAUUGGAACUGAGAUACGGCCCAGACUCCUACGGGAGGCAGCAGUGGGGAAUAUUGCACAAUGGGCGCAAGCCUGAUGCAGCGACGCCGCGUGGGGGAUGACGGCCUUCGGGUUGUAAACUCCUUUCGCUAGGGACGAAGCGUUUUUGUGACGGUACCUGGAGAAGAAGCACCGGCUAACUACGUG